GGAUGUUAGCAGGCGGACGGGUGAGUAACACGUGGGUAACCUGCCUGUAAGACUGGGAUAACUCCGGGAAACCGGAGCUAAUACCGGAUAGUUCCUUGAACCGCAUGGUUCAAGGAUGAAAGACGGUUUCGGCUGUCACUUACAGAUGGACCCGCGGCGCAUUAGCUAGUUGGUGGGGUAAUGGCUCACCAAGGCGACGAUGCGUAGCCGACCUGAGAGGGUGAUCGGCCACACUGGGACUGAGACACGGCCCAGACUCCUACGGGAGGCAGCAGUAGGGAAUCUUCCGCAAUGGACGAAAGUCUGACGGAGCAACGCCGCGUGAGUGAUGAAGGUUUUCGGAUCGUAAAGCUCUGUUGUUAGGGAAGAACAAGUGCGAGAGUAACUGCUCGCACCUUGACGGUACCUAACCAGAAAGCCACGGCUAACUACGUGCCAGCAGCCGCGGUAAUACGUAGGUGGCAAGCGUUGUCCGGAAUUAUUGGGCGUAAAGGGCUCGCAGGCGGUUUCUUAAGUCUGAUGUGAAAGCCCCCGGCUCAACCGGGGAGGGUCAUUGGAAACUGGGAAACUUGAGUGCAGAAGAGGAGAGUGGAAUUCCACGUGUAGCGGUGAAAUGCGUAGAGAUGUGGAGGAACACCAGUGGCGAAGGCGACUCUCUGGUCUGUAACUGACGCUGAGGAGCGAAAGCGUGGGGAGCGAACAGGAUUAGAUACCCUGGUAGUCCACGCCGUAAACGAUGAGUGCUAAGUGUUAGGGGGUUUCCGCCCCUUAGUGCUGCAGCUAACGCAUUAAGCACUCCGCCUGGGGAGUACGGUCGCAAGACUGAAACUCAAAGGAAUUGACGGGGGCCCGCACAAGCGGUGGAGCAUGUGGUUUAAUUCGAAGCAACGCGAAGAACCUUACCAGGUCUUGACAUCCUCUGACAACCCUAGAGAUAGGGCUUUCCCUUCGGGGACAGAGUGACAGGUGGUGCAUGGUGUCGUCAGCUCGUGUCGUGAGA
rnacentral:rRNA from 2 species